rnacentral:rRNA from 1 species
UACGGGGGGGGCAAGCGUUGUUCGGAAUUACUGGGCGUAAAGGGCUCGUAGGCGGCCAACUAAGACGGAUGUGAAAUCCCCAGGCUUAACCUGGGAACUGCAUCCGAUACUGGAUGGCUUGAAUCCGGGAGAGGGAUGCAGAAUUCCAGGUGUAGCGGUGAAAUGCGUAGAUAUCUGGAGGAAUACCGGUGGCGAAGGCGGCAUCCUGGACCGGCAUUGACGCUGAGGAGCGAAAGCUAGGGGAGCAAACGGG